rnacentral:lncRNA from 1 species
CUUUCCAAAAGGCUUGAACUCUGCAGAUAGAAGUAUGGGGCUCCUCUGCAGACUGCAAGCUGAAGUAGAGAGAUAUAACUUUUAACAAGAACAUGCAGCCCAUAGAUCUUGGUGGGACGAAUUAAGACUGAUGCAUUACAGGACAUUUAGGGCUGUGCAGUUUGCAGCACAGGUACACUUGCCCUACACACUGUAGGCUGUGAUGAGAAUUGCCCAGUCCAGUCCUUUAAACCAGUCUGCAACUUAUAUUUUGGGACUAAUAAUGUUCCUCUUCCUUUACAGAGUGACUUGAGAUUGUCAAGCGACAGUGACAAUGCUCAUUAAUCAGUUGUUGUUUGAGAAAAACAGAAAAUUUGGAAACUAUUUUAGGAGGUGAAGUCACAUUUAUUGUUCAGCUAUGAGAGAGGGAUGUAUUGCUACCUGAAUUAAAAAUAAUGAAGAUGUAGAACAAGAUAUGGAAAAAAUCUCUAUCCAUACGAAGAUGCAUUUUUAAAGAAGUUAGUUAUUCUGGUCUGCAUUUUCAACAAGGACAACACGAGAGACCUGCACAUUAAUGACAUUCCCACACACCACAUAGCCGCUACAAGAACAUGAUGGAUCUGGAUCAUCACUUUCUAGUGUUGAGAGUGUCAGAAGGCUGUUACAGUUUAAAACACAGAAUGGAACACUGAUGUUCUGAUCUCCUUAUCAAGCAAGUAUGGACCCUCAAAAAUAAUGUUUACACAUUUCCUAUAAACAUUUCUAUUGCUAAACAAAUCAGCCUAUAUCAAGAGGAUGAACCAAUGGACAAUGGACAAGGACACACCUUGGACAAGACUCUGAAGAAUUCAAUUCUUCAUUACAACAUAAACAAUGAAAACUGAACAAAUUCCUACAUAGAGGAGAUGUGGGAUCCUGUUGCUGAUUUGGGUCUGCCAUUUUUAGCUGGCUGAUGCUUUAUGCUCUUAAACAAUUGCAUAUUUACCAUUCAUGCAGAAAAUUUCUUACACAUAUGACUGGGUACAAAUUUAAUUUCUUGUGAUAAUGACCACCUUUUGCUGCAAGAGGCAUUUAACAUGGUCAGAAUGCUACAAAUGCUGUUUUCCAGAAAGGAAUGUACAGCUUUAAUGAGUGUGUCGGUGCGCAAACUCUGUUUUCAAAGCUUUUUGGUCUGAAUACAGGAAACAGUUAAAGGCAGAUUCUGGCUUGCUGGCUAUGCUUCCCACUCCACAAUGAAGACUUUCACUGAGUUUAGCUGAAGCUAUAUCUACUACACACUGACACACAUUUACUCUUAUAGCAAUCUCUGUAACUUCAGUGAAAAUGUUCAAGAAAUAAAAUUCUUCUCAACUGGAGUUGGGUUUGAAAAAUCUGCACUAUCACAGGUACCUCUCAGGCUGUUUUUGUAAGUUCUUUUAACAUUUUAUGUCAGAAACCAUUUGGUUUCUUAAAUGCUCAAUAAAUACUUAUUUGUGUAUUUACAGUAAUACCUAAAUUCACUUCCUGUUGAUCAUCUUACUAUUUAAAGAAAACACUAGUAAGAUUAUUACUUUUCUUGGUGUACGAUUUAAUUCUCAAAAAAUUCUUGCAUUGAUCACUGAACAAUGUUGGUUUGAAAACUGAUAAUUUUUUAAUUCUUCGGGGAAGGCAAUGGAAUAAAGUCAUGUAGAGAGAUUCCAUGGAUGUCUUCUACAGUUUUGUUUUGUUAGCUUUUCUUUAUCCUCUAGCAAUUUAUUUGUGAUUCAUUCAUUCACAGACCAAGUUUCUUCUGUGAUAAACUUACGCAGCUCAGUCACAUUACAUGGAAUUAGCUCAGUUCACCCCAACAUUAAUAAUAUAUAUUUCCCAG